rnacentral:rRNA from 1 species
UACGUAGGGGGCAAGCGUUGUCCGGAUUUAUUGGGCGUAAAGAGCGUGUAGGCGGUUCGGUAGGUCCGUUGUGAAAACUCGAGCUCAACCUCGAGACGCCGAUGGAAACCCCCGAACUAGAGUCCGGAAGAGGAGAGUGGAAUUCCACGUGUAGCGGUGAAAUGCGUAGAGAUGUGGAGGAACACCAGUGGCGAAGGCGACUCUUUGGCCUGUAACUGACGCUGAGGCGCGAAAGCGUGGGGAGCAAACAGG